rnacentral:tRNA from 1 species
GCGGUCGUAGCUCAGUCGGUAGAGCCCUGGAUUGUGAUUCCAGUUGUCGCGAGUUCAAAUCUCGUCGAUCGCCCCA